CUUUCCAGGCAGGCUCCCCCACACUGAUGCUACAUUCCUCUCUACGGGAACCAAAAGUCCCUCUCUGUUACCCAGCUGGGACCUCAAAAGCCAUCAGGAUCACCUUUUGAUCAUGAUAUAUUUUUAAUGGAGAAAAUGCAAAACAGGGGACUUUUUACUUCCCAAAUAAUGAAAUGGCAGAAACAAAGCACACUGCCCACACCAUCAGCAAAACAGUGAUGGUGGGUGUGCACAGAGCCGUGCCUUAAAAGACAUUGAUAUAAUGUGAUGCAAUACAGAGAUGCAGAGAGGUGGAACACACUGGAGAUCCUAGCAGACUCCCUGUGAGGAUACGGGUGCAGUCUGAUCUUCUGUAUGGAGGAGAUGGAAGAGGCACCGGGAGAAAGAAAACUGGGUGAAAAUGAAGAAUGUAGAGUCAAGGGUCCA
rnacentral:lncRNA from 1 species